rnacentral:rRNA from 1 species
CGAAGGGGGCUAGCGUUGCUCGGAAUCACUGGGCGUAAGCGCACGUAGGCGGAUUGCUAAGUCAGGGGUGAAAUCCUGGAGCUCAACUCCAGAACUGCCCUUGAUACUGGCGGUCUCGAGUCCGGGAGAGGUGAGUGGAACUGCGAGUGUAGAGGUGAAAUUCGUAGAUAUUCGCAAGAACACCAGUGGCGAAGGCGGCUCACUGGCCCGGUACUGACGCUGAGGUGCGAAAGCGUGGGGAGCAAACAGG